UACGUAGGGUGCGAGCGUUAAUCGGAAUUACUGGGCGUAAAGCGUGCGCAGGCGGUUGGGCAAGACCGAUGUGAAAGCCCCGGGCUUAACCUGGGAAUGGCAUUGGUGACUGCACGGCUAGAGUGUGUCAGAGGGGGGUAGAAUUCCACGUGUAGCAGUGAAAUGCGUAGAGAUGUGGAGGAAUACCGAUGGCGAAGGCAGCCCCCUGGGAUAACACUGACGCUCAUGCACGAAAGUGUGGGGAGCAAACAGG
rnacentral:rRNA from 1 species